rnacentral:lncRNA from 1 species
AAGAGAGAGAGAGAGAGAGAGAGAGAGAGAGAGAGAGAGAGAGAGAGAGAGAGAGAGAGGAAGAAGAAGGAGGAGGACUAGGAGGAGGAAAACAAAGAGGAAGCAGAGGAAAAGGAAGAGAAAGAGGAAGAGGAAAAGGAAGAAGGAAUGAAGACUCUUUGUUGCACAUACCAAGUUACUAACAGGGAGGGAACAAUGAGGCAGCUGCUUGCUGCUCUGGACCAGAAUCUGAACAACAAAAAGGAUGCCUUUGGUGGUAAAGCAUAAAGAAUUGUUCAAGGAGGGAAGGUUUGUGUUCUCAGAUGUGUCCAGAAAGUACUGUACAACAGCACAAAGCUGAGAGAAGAGAGGGGGAUGUCAGAACUACAGAUGGCAAGAAAAAGUAAAGGACUGUAUCGGAGGAGCAGAUGUAACUCCCUCCCCUCCUCUCAGCCCACUCAAGAACAGGCCUGAGAUACGAGAGAAGGAGCACUGAGGGCCCAGAGAGAUGGCUUGGUACUUAAGAGCACACAUUGUUCUCACAGAGGACCUGAGUUCUGUCUCAGUGCCCACAUUAUGUGGCUCACAAUGUAUCCUCUGAUACAAUUAAAAAAAAAAAAACUCUUCAAAAGGAGGAAUGCUGAACUGGGAAUUCUGAGAGCCCACAAGAAGAGGGUGAACUCAGUGGAUGGUUCUCAGAAAAAGCAGGUCUACACAGUUUCUCACUCAUCAGUCCAGAUAUCGGAAGCACAGAACACUGAUCUUUAAAGACGAGGAGUUGUCUGCUUCCUGGGCGUGGGUUGGAGGAAAAGGGACAACUGUUAGCAUCAUCUGGACUAGAUGCAUCUCAGAAAAACAACAGCAACAACAACAGCAGCAACAGCAACAGCAAAAAGAGAAACAACAGCAACAACAGAACAGCAACAGCAGCAACAACAGUAACGACAGCAACAAUAACAGCCAAAAACCGAAAAUGGCUUGAUUUAGCCCAGCCAAAGCUGGAGAAAAGGAAAUUUUCAGUCUGCCCUGCUGUGCCUACAGCAGUGUUACAACUUACAGAAGAGAGAAACUAAAGCCAGGAAACACGCACAUGUCAUUUAGCUGUGGUCCUGGACACAGGAACAGACAAAGAGGCUUUUUCAUGGUUCUACUCAGCACAGUAUUUCCUACAGGCUUCCUGUGGUGGUUUCAGUGAGACUCAUCCCAAAAGCUUAUGUAUGUGACUGCUUGAUUCCCAGUGGAAUUGCUUGAGAAGGAUUAGAUGUGGCCUUGCUGGAGUAAGUAUGGCCUUGUUGGAGUAAUUGUGUUUUGGGAGUGGGCUUUGGGGUUUCAAAUUCGCUUGCUGGGCCCAGUCUCUCUCUCUCUCUCUCUCUCUCUC